AUAUCAAUAAGCGGAGGAAAAGAAACCAACAGGGAUUACCUCAGUAACGGCGAGUGAAGCGGUAACAGCUCAAAUUUGAAAGCUGGCUCUUUUAGGGUCCGCGUUGUAAUUUGUAGAAGAUGCUUCGGGUGUGGCCCCGGUCUAAGUUCCUUGGAACAGGACGUCAUAGAGGGUGAGAAUCCCGUAUGUGACUGGGUGCUUUCGCUCAUGUGAAGCUCUUUCGACGAGUCGAGUUGUUUGGGAAUGCAGCUCAAAAUGGGUGGUAAAUUUCAUCUAAAGCUAAAUAUUGGCCAGAGACCGAUAGCGCACAAGUAGAGUGAUCGAAAGAUGAAAAGCACUUUGGAAAGAGAGUUAAACAGUACGUGAAAUUGUUGAAAGGGAAGCGCUUGCAACCAGACUUGCGCGCUGAUGAUCAUCCGGGCUUCUGCCCGGUGCACUCGUCUGCGCUCAGGCCAGCAUCGGUUUCGGUGGUGGGAUAAAGGCCUUGGGAAUGUGGCUCCUCUCGGGGAGUGUUAUAGCCCUCGGUGCAAUGCCGCCAACCGGGACCGAGGACCGCGCUUCGGCUAGGAUGCUGGCGUAAUGGUUGUAAGCGA
rnacentral:rRNA from 1 species